GAUGAACGCUGGCGGCGUGCCUAAUACAUGCAAGUCGAGCGAACAGACGAGGAGCUUGCUCCUCUGACGUUAGCGGCGGACGGGUGAGUAACACGUGGAUAACCUACCUAUAAGACUGGGAUAACUUCGGGAAACCGGGGCUAAUACCGGAUAAUAUAUUGAACCGCAGGGAUCAAUAGUGAAAGACGGUUUUGCUGUUACUUAUAGAUGGAUCCGCGCCGCAUUAGCUAGUUGGUAAGGUAACGGCUUACCAAGGCAACGAUGCGUAGCCGACCUGAGAGGGUGAUCGGCCACACUGGAACUGAGACACGGUCCAGACUCCUACGGGAGGCAGCAGUAGGGAAUCUUCCGCAAUGGGCGAAAGCCUGACGGAGCAACGCCGCGUGAGUGAUGAAGGUCUUCGGAUCGUAAAGCUCUGUUAUUAGGGAAGAACAAAUGUGUAAGUAACUAUGCACGUCUUGACGGUACCUAAUCAGAAAGCCACGGCUAACUACGUG
rnacentral:rRNA from 1 species